GUGAGGAAUAUUGCACAAUGGGCGAAAGCCUGAUGCAGCAACGCCGCGUGAGCGAAGAAGGCCUUUGGGUCGUAAAGCUCUGUCCUUGGGGAAGAAAAAAAUGACGGUACCCUUGGAGGAAGCCCCGGCUAACUACGUGCCAGCAGCCGCGGUAAUACGUAGGGGGCGAGCGUUAUCCGGAAUUAUUGGGCGUAAAGAGUGCGUAGGUGGUCUUGUAAGCGUGGGGUGAAAGGCAGUGGCUUAACCAUUGUUAGCCUUGCGAACUGUGAGACUUGAGUGCAGGAGAGGAAAGUGGAAUUCCUAGUGUAGCGGUGAAAUGCGUAGAUAUUAGGAGGAACAUCAGUGGCGAAGGCGACUUUCUGGACUGUAACUGACACUGAGGCACGAAAGCGUGGGGAGCAAACAGGAUUAGAAACCCUAGUAGUCC
rnacentral:rRNA from 1 species